UCCUCCUGCGCACAGUUUCUUUCUUCUUCUUUUUCUUCCUUAUCUCCAUUUCUCUCUCUCUCCAUAUUCUUUUCUUUCCCUCUCUCUUAAUUUUCUCUCCCAAUCUUCAUCUAUUUUAGAAUCUGAUUAGACCAUGUUGUAGCUGACGAGUUAAGGAACAUUUCUACCGAUCAGAUUUUCAAACAGAGUAAGUUCAUUUUUACUCUAAAUAUCCUUUGUUCUCUGUUUUUCCUUAGGAUUUAGUCAUCAAUCUUGGUGGGGUCAGUUGAGAAGUUUAAUCCUCUCAACUUAUUCUAUUAUAUACUGAAAUUUUGUUUUGUUUGGAUAAUUUGCAUUAGGCCCGUAAAUCUUGAAGUCUAUCCAAACGGUGAGGAAUAAAAUUCUAAAAGUUGCUUGGAAAGCAAGCAAUUGAGGUAAGGGAAGCUAAAUUUAAUUUUUAAUAGCACCCUAGGAUAGAAGAUCUGAAUGCAGAAGGGACGUGGUCCCAAUAUUCAAUUUCUCUUGCAGGGAUGUUGUGUGCUUAUUUAUAUUGGGUUGUUUGUUUAUAUAUUAUUUAAAUUUGUGGAAAUAUUGGAUUUUGAUGAUUUAUUAUUAAAGUGUUAUUUUUUUAUGUCAAAUAAACUUUUGAAUAUUGUGGAUAACUUUUUGAAUGAUAUUGUAUGACAGAAUGGUAUGGAAUUGAAUUCAUACAUUUGGGAUAAUGUAUGGACUGAUGUUUGUUGUGUAUUAAGUAUUGAUGCCUAUGUGGUAACAGAGAUCUCAGAGCUUCACUGAUGAUUUAAGUCACAUAGACUAAGAUAUCAGGUGGUGAGAAGCUGAUGGGGGAGUUCAUGCACACCGUGACAUAUGAGAUGCACGGCUUGGGUUGUAUUGAACUUACCCUGAUCCUUUCUGUUGGAUUCGCUGGUAAUCUUUGGAUCAGGUGUUAGUCUCUGGUAGGACUUACUUAAUAAGGGUCUUCCGGAAGACGUUGUUUGUUGAACAUUCUAGAUGUGUAGAUCCAUGUGAGAUCUAUGUGAUUGUUUAUUGUUGAGAUUUGAAGAAAUUUGAAUAAUUUGAGAAAUUGAUCAUGUAAUUUGGUUUUCUUUUUUGAUUUAAUUGUGUAUAUUAUAAAAUUCUAUUUUCA
rnacentral:lncRNA from 1 species